GACUGGGUGGCUCAAUGGUAGAGCAUUGGUCUUCGGAACCAAAGGUUGCGGGUUCGAGUCCCGUCUUAGUCG